CAGGACGAACGCUGGCGGCGUGCCUAACACAUGCAAGUCGAACGGGGAUUUGUUUCGGCAGAAUCCUAGUGGCGAACGGGUGAGUAACGCGUAGGCAACCUGCCCUCCGGCCGGGGACAACACUCCGAAAGGGGUGCUAAUACCGGAUACGAAGUCUGUGCCGCAUGGUACGGAUUUGAAAGAUGGCCUCUAUUUAUAAGCUAUCGCCGGGGGAUGGGCCUGCGUCCGAUUAGCUGGUUGGUGGGUAACGGCCUACCAAGGCGACGAUCGGUAGCCGGUCUGAGAGGAUGAACGGCCACAUUGGGACUGAGACACGGCCCAGACUCCUACGGGAGGCAGCAGUGGGGAAUCUUCCGCAAUGGGCGCAAGCCUGACGGAGCAACGCCGCCGUGAGUGAGGAAGUUCUUCGGAACGUAAAGCUCUGUUGUUCCUGACGAACCUCCCUUCUAUCAACAACGGAGGGGACUGACGGUAGGGAACGAGGAAGCCACGGCUAACUACGUGCCAGCCGCCGC
rnacentral:rRNA from 1 species